CAGGUCAGAUGGGAGGUUGAGCUACAUCUGGGGAGCUUCUCAGGAAAAGCAUAUGCUGGACUGAUGUCCUCUGUUUACAAACCCUUCAUGCAAUAACCCGAGGGAAAUAAUGGCAAAGAGAAGGAGUGCGGGAUGCAGCCUCUGGGAUUGACUGUUAAAUUAACGGGAGACACGCUAUUCCAUUGCGCUGCUUAACCAUUGUGGAAAACAGAUAGUGACAGCGAUAACGAAGCAGCAGAAUCUCUCAUCUCGUCUCAGUGGGCCAUCCCUCCUGCAGCUAUUUGUCACAAGCAGAUGUUUGAGAGAACCAUGACCUCCAAGUGUGGCUGCCGGGGAAUGGGAGCUUGGCGCCAGUUCUGAUUGGAAACCUGCAGAGCAGAGGGGGCAUGG